AUUGAACGCUGGCGGCAGGCCUAACACAUGCAAGUCGAGCGAGCGGCGGACGGGUGAGUAAUGCCUGGGAAUUGCCCAGUCGAGGGGGAUCACAGUUGGAAACGACUGCUAAUAUCGCAUACGAUUGGAUUGCCCAGGUGGGAUUAGCUAGUUGGUGAGGUACUGGCGCACCAAUGCGAAGAUCUCCAGAUGGUCUGAGAGGAUGAUCAGCCAAACUGGAACUGAGACACGGUCCAGACUCCUACGGGAGGCAGCAGGGGGGAAUAUUGCACAAUGGGGGAAACCCUGAUGCAGCCAUGCCGGGUGGGUGAAGAGGGCCUUCGGGUUGGAAAGCACUGUCAGCGAGGAGGCGUUACUCGCAGAAGAAGCACCGGCUAACGCCGUGCCAGCAGCAGCGGUAAUAC
rnacentral:rRNA from 1 species